AGAGUUUGAUCCUGGCUCAGGACGAACGCUGGCGGCGUGCCUAAUACAUGCAAGUCGAGCGAACAGAUGGGAGCUUGCUCCCUGAUGUUAGCGGCGGACGGGUGAGUAACACGUGGGUAACCUGCCUGUAAGACUGGGAUAACUCCGGGAAACCGGGGCUAAUACCGGAUGGUUGUUUGAACCGCAUGGUUCAAACAUAAAAGGUGGCUUCGGCUACCACUUACAGAUGGACCCGCGGCGCAUUAGCUAGUUGGUGAGGUAAUGGCUCACCAAGGCAACGAUGCGUAGCCGACCUGAGAGGGUGAUCGGCCACACUGGGACUGAGACACGGCCCAGACUCCUACGGGAGGCAGCAGUAGGGAAUCUUCCGCAAUGGACGAAAGUCUGACGGAGCAACGCCGCGUGAGUGAUGAAGGUUUUCGGAUCGUAAAGCUCUGUUGUUAGGGAAGAACAAGUACCGUUCGAAUAGGGCGGUACCUUGACGGUACCUAACCAGAAAGCCACGGCUAACUACGUGCCAGCAGCCGCGGUAAUACGUAGGUGGCAAGCGUUGUCCGGAAUUAUUGGGCGUAAAGGGCUCGCAGGCGGUUUCUUAAGUCUGAUGUGAAAGCCCCUGGCUCAACCGGGGAGGGUCAUUGGAAACUGGGAAACUUGAGUGCAGAAGAGGAGAGUGGAAUUCCACGUGUAGCGGUGAAAUGCGUAGAGAUGUGGAGGAACACCAGUGGCGAAGGCGACUCUCUGGUCUGUAACUGACGCUGAGGAGCGAAAGCGUGGGGAGCGAACAGGAUUAGAUACCCCAGUAGUCC
rnacentral:rRNA from 1 species